CGCCGAUAUACUGCUGGUGCUGUUUUGUCCAUGCAAGAAGAUAGAUCUGACAAAAUUUCAUCUUUAUCUGGGCGAGAUGACAAGUCAUCUAGUGCAUUUGGCCAAGUGUCGAAUACAAUUGAGCCAAAUAAUACCGCUGAGCUAGCUCCUGUUAUGGCAAAUGAUGAUAGCAUUGAAGGUGCUGAGGAUGAUGAUGAUCCCUUCUCAAAAAGGAG
rnacentral:misc_RNA from 1 species